CUGACUGAUACUGAUUUUUAAACUGGUCUGGUCAGUCUACUAUAAUAUUUGUUAAUAUGCAUCUUUCUAUCUACAAGCAAUACUUGGAAAAUGUGUCAUUUCUAGGCCUCUCUGGUCUGAGGCUAAACCCAACACGUUAUUUGUGCACAGGUUACAGUGUAAGCAGAGAAAGCUAAGCGAAAUAUUUUAAUACAUCCUGUCUGUCAUUGUAUUUCUUCUGUGUUUCAGACUCACUGUCUGUAAACUCACAGACACAUCCUGUGAAGUGUUGGCCUCAGUUCUCAGUUCAAACCCCUCACAUCUGAGAGAGCUGGAUCUGAGUAACAAUGACCUGAAUGAUUCAGGAGUGAAGCUGCUCUCUGAUGGACUGGAGAAUCCCCACUGUAAACUGGAGACUCUGAGGCUGUCAGGCUGUCUAGUCACAGAGGAAGGCUGUGCUUCUCUGGUCUCAGCUCUGAGGUCAAACCCCUCACACCUGAGAGAGCUGGACCUGAGUAACAAUGACCUGAAGGAUUCAGGAGUGAAGCUGCUCUCUGAUGGACUGGGGAAUCCCCACUGUAAACUGGAGACUCUGAGACUCACUGGCUGUAAACUCACAGACACAUCCUGUGAAGUGUUGGCCUCAGUU